GCAAAACUUUUGUUUGUAUAUAUAGACUUCAGACAGAAAUUAGUGCUGCAAACCGUUUGCGCGAUGCAAAGCCGCAAAAGAAAAAUAUUAUAGAGAUGUGAUGUGGAGAGGUGGAUCAGAACCACACGCGGACAGCAGGGAUUAAAGAUUUGAGAAUAGGACAGGCUUCGCAAAACAUGAUUUGGAGAGCGUUUGUCUUUGACCCUGCGAUUCUAUGCAACAGGUGACACGUUCAAGUUCAUCAGGUUCAAGUCCAGGAUGGGAGACCAGCACCAUCUCACAAAUAGUUUUGGAUGUUCUGCUCUGUACCAGGUUAUAAAGGACGAUUUCUUGAAGACACCAUCAACGGAAGGAGAGUGGCAUACAAUAGCCAUGGACUUCGAAAGGAAGUGGCAGUUUCCACAUUGCUUUGGGGUACUUGCUACCACUCCAGCUGUAGCAGACUGCUGACCACAACAUGGAUGAUGGGCAGUGGAAGAUUCACGG